CAGAGACUGUGUAGAAGAAAUAACGUGUGAACAUGAAGCACACAACCGUCGCUUUAGUCGUGAUCUGUGUCUUAAUUAAAGAAGAUUCAUCAACAUCAAAACUUACUGAUGACUCCGUUUACCUGAUCAAGAUAUAGAGCUCACGGUGGGUGUGACCGGUCAACAGGGGAUGUUUACUCCUCCUAGGCACCUGAUCCCGCCUAUGCUGUUAAUAUCUUCACGUGGAGCAAAGAUAGGGGAUUGGUAGAACAUUUACUCGAUCCACCAAUGUGUCCUUUGUAGGGGUUAUUGUGAAGUUUAGGAAUCCGGAAUAAUCACGGUAGUUUCUUAUUCAUCCAUCCCAUUGACUGGGAUAUUAAAGUAAUACAAGCUGUAACUGACGGUAAAUAAAUUAAAAAACAAAAGAACGAAUGUUUAAGAUAUUUUUGAUUGAAAAUAUAUAACUUAAUAGAAUCAGAGUGAAUCCGAAGUAAUAAACCCGUCAAAUCAGCAGAAGAUGUCAAUUAAUGAAUCAUUAUUAUACUAUCAGCAAUUCCUGCUCGUAAUCUCCCAUAUGCAUUGACCUCGGAGAUCAACAAUUCCGAAAAGAACGAAAUAGAAACACAGAGCACGUGCCAGAUUUGUAAACAAUUUAACAUGCCAAUUUUAUUAAAAAUUCACUAUCAAAAUAUCAUUUGAGUGGUACAUUUGCGUAAUUAUUAAUAUCUUACAGUUAUAGUACAUAUACUUCUUGUCAUUUGUGAAACGAUGUAAUAUUUAAAACAAACGAAACGUGUAGUUACUCGCGUCAGUAUCCAUCUUAGUAUAAGACC